rnacentral:rRNA from 1 species
GUGAAUUCGUGUGAAUCGCAGACUGCUUUGAACAUCGACAUCUUGAACGCACAUUGCGGCCACAGGCUUGCCUGUGGCCACGUCUGACCGAGGGUCGGCU